rnacentral:rRNA from 1 species
AAUUCGAUGAUACGCGAGGAACCUUACCUGGGCUUAAAUGUAGAGUGCAUUUUUUAGAGAUAGAAAUUCCCUUCGGGGCUUUCUGCAAGGUGCUGCAUGGUUGUCGUCAGCUCGUGCCGUGAGGUGUCGGGUUAAGUCCCAUAACGAGCGCAACCCUUAUCGUUAGUUGCCAGCUGGUAAAGCAGGGGACUCUAGCGAAACUGCCACCGUAAGGUGAGAGGAAGGUGGGAUGACGUCAAAUCAGCACGGCCCUUAUGUCCAGGGCUACACACGUGUUACAAUGGCCGGCACAGAGGGCAGCUACCUGGUGACAGGAUGCUAAUCUCGAAAACCGGUCUCAGUUCGGAUCGAAGUCUGCAACUCGACUUCGUGAAGCUGGAUUCGCUAGUAAUCGCGCAUCAGCCAUGGCGCGGUGAAUACGUUCCCGGGCCUU